GUAGGGUGCAAGCGUUAAUCGGAAUUACUGGGCGUAAAGCGUGCGCAGGCGGUUUUGUAAGACAGUCGUGAAAUCCCCGGGCUCAACCUGGGAAUUGCGAUUGUGACUGCAAAGCUGGAGUGCGGCAGAGGGGGAUGGAAUUCCGCGUGUAGCAGUGAAAUGCGUAGAUAUGCGGAGGAACACCGAUGGCGAAGGCAAUCCCCUGGGCCUGCACUGACGCUCAUGCACGAAAGCGUGGGGAGCAAACAGGAUUAGAUACCCUGGUAGUCCACGCCCUAAACGAUGUCAACUGGUUGUUGGGUCUCUUCUGACUCAGUAACGAAGCUAACGCGUGAAGUUGACCGCCUGGGGAGUACGGCCGCAAGGUUG
rnacentral:rRNA from 1 species